UAGUGGCGCACGGGUGCGUAACGCGUGGGAAUCUGCCCUUUGGUUCGGAAUAACAGUUGGAAACGACUGCUAAUACCGGAUGAUGACGAAAGUCCAAAGAUUUAUCGCCAGAGGAUGAGCCCGCGUAGGAUUAGCUAGUUGGUGUGGUAAAGGCGCACCAAGGCGACGAUCCUUAGCUGGUCUGAGAGGAUGAUCAGCCACACUGGGACUGAGACACGGCCCAG
rnacentral:rRNA from 1 species